CCUACGGGAGGCUGCAGUGGGGAAUAUUGGACAAUGGGCGAAAGCCUGAUCCAGCCAUGCCGCGUGUGUGAAGAAGGCCUUCGGGUUGUAAAGCACUUUCAGUGGGGAAGAAAGCCUUGGGGCUAAUACCCUCGAGGAAGGACAUCACCCACAGAAGAAGCACCGGCUAACUCCGUGCCAGCAGCCGCGGUAAUACGGAGGGUGCGAGCGUGAAUCGGAAUUACUGGGCGUAAAGCGCGCGUAGGCGGUCUGAUAAGCCGGUUGUGAAAGCCCCGGGCUCAACCUGGGAACGGCAUCCGGAACUGUCAGGCUAGAGUGCAGGAGAGGAAGGUAGAAUUCCCGGUGUAGCGGUGAAAUGCGUAGAGAUCGGGAGGAAUACCAGUGGCGAAGGCGGCCUUCUGGACUGACACUGACGCUGAGGUGCGAAAGCGUGGGUAGCAAACAGGAUUAGAUACCCGAGUAGUC
rnacentral:rRNA from 1 species